AAUCUAUCCUUGGGUGGGGGAUAACGUCGGGAAACUGACGCUAAUACCGCAUGACACCUGUGGGUCAAAGGCGCGAGUCGCCUGGGGAGGAGCCUGCGUACGAUUAGCUAGUUGGUGGGGUAAAGGCCUACCAAGGCGACGAUCGUUAGCUGGUCUGAGAGGAUGAUCAGCCACACUGGGACUGAGACACGGCCCAGACUCCUACGGGAGGCAGCAGUGGGGAAUAUUGGACAAUGGGCGAAAGCCUGAUCCAGCAAUGCCGCGUGGAUGAAGAAGGUCUUCGGAUUGUAAAGUCCUUUCGGCGGGGACGAUGAUGACGGUACCCGCAGAAGAAGCCCCGGCUAACUUCGUGCCAGCAGCCGCGGUAAUACGAAGGGGGCUAGCGUUGCUCGGAAUGACUGGGCGUAAAGGGCGCGUAGGCGGUUCGACUAGUCAGAUGUGAAAUUCCCGGGCUUAACCUGGGGGCUGCAUUUGAGACUUUCGGACUUGAGUGUGGAAGAGGGUCGUGGAAUUCCCAGUGUAGAGGUGAAAUUCGUAGAUAUUGGGAAGAACACCGGUGGCGAAGGCGGCGACCUGGUCCAUUACUGACGCUGAGGCGCGAAAGCGUGGGGAGC
rnacentral:rRNA from 1 species